CAGGUGCUGCAUGGCCGUCGUCAGCUCGUGUCGUGAGAUGUUGGGUUAAGUCCCGCAACGAGCGCAACCCUUGUCAUUAGUUGCUACGAAAGGGCACUCUAAUGAGACUGCCGGUGACAAACCGGAGGAAGGUGGGGAUGACGUCAGGUCAUCAUGGCCCUUAUGGGUAGGGCUACACACGUCAUAUAAUGGCCGGGACAGAGGGCUGCCAACCCGCGAGGGGGAGCUAAUCCCAGAAACCCGGUCGUAGUCCGGAUCGCAGUCUGCAACUCGACUGCGUGAAGUCGGAAUCGCUAGUAAUCGCGGAUCAGCUUGCCGUGGUGAAUACGUUCCCGGGUCUUGUACACACCGCCCGUCACACCAUGGGAGCG
rnacentral:rRNA from 1 species